GAUGAACGCUGACAGAAUGCUUAACACAUGCAAGUCGACUCGAGUCUUCGGACUUGGGUGGCGGACGGGUGAGUAACGCGUAAAGAACUUGCCUCAUAGUCUGGGACAACAUUUGGAAAUGGAUGCUAAUACCGGAUAUUAUACUUUCUUCGCAUGGAGGAAGUAUGAAAGCUAUAUGCGCUAUGAGAGAGCUUUGCGUCCCAUUAGCUAGUUGGUGAGGUAACGGCCCACCAAGGCGAUGAUGGGUAGCCGGCCUGAGAGGGUGAACGGCUACAAGGGGACUGAGACACGGCCCUUACUCCUACGGGAGGCAGCAGUGGGGAAUAUUGGACAAUGGACCAAAAGUCUGAUCCAGCAAUUCUGUGUGCACGAUGACGUUUUUCGGAAUGUAAAGUGCUUUCGGUCGGGAAGAAGCAAGUGACGGUACCGACAGAAGAAGCGACGGCUAAAUACGUGCCAGCAGCCGCGGUAAUACGUAUGUCGCAAGCGUUAUCCGGAUUUAUUGGGCGUAAAGCGCGUCUAGGCGGCAAGGAAAGUCUGAUGUGAAAAUGCGGGGCUCAACUCCGUAUUGCGUUGGAAACUGCCUUACUAGAGUACUGGAGAGGUAGGCGGAACUACAAGUGUAGAGGUGAAAUUCGUAGAUAUUUGUAGGAAUGCCGAUGGGGAAGCCAGCCUACUGGACAGAUACUGACGCUAAAGCGCGAAAGCGUGGGUAGCAAACAGG
rnacentral:rRNA from 1 species